rnacentral:rRNA from 1 species
CCCAGACUCCUACGGGAGGCAGCAGUGGGGAAUAUUGGACAAUGGGGGGAACCCUGAUCCAGCGACGCCGCGUGAGUGAAGAAGUAUUUCGGUAUGUAAAGCUCUAUCAGCAGGGAAGAAAGAAAUGACGGUACCUGACUAAGAAGCCCCGGCUAACUACGUGCCAGCAGCCGCGGUAAUACGUAGGGGGCAAGCGUUAUCCGGAUUUACUGGGUGUAAAGGGAGCGUAGACGGUUAUGUAAGUCUGGAGUGAAAGCCCGGGGCCCAACCCCGGGACUGCUUUGGAAACUGUGUAAUUGGAGUACAGGAGGGGCAGGCGGAAUUCCUGGUGUAGCGGUGAAAUGCGUAGAUAUCAGGAGGAACACCGGCGGCGAAGGCGGCCUGCUGGACUGAAACUGACGUUGAGGCUCGAAAGCGUGGGGAGCAAACAGGAUUAGAUACCCGGGUA